ACGCGGUCGCCAGCGACGAGCUCCGACGCGACCGCCCCUGACGAGCCCCCGGCAUCACGGACACCGGCGACGAGCUUCAGCGUGGCCCCGGCGUGGGGAGCGACGGCGGAGGAUGCGGCCGACAGUGACGUGGUCAUCGGAUUGCUGCCUACAGCUCCAGCACCGCCGCCCACCAUCCACGGCGCCGCUGUUAACACUCACCUCCAGCUCCAUCCGCGUGGCCGGCCGGUGCACCCUCCGCUAGCGCCCCAACUCCAUCGCGAGCCCUCUCCAAUCGCCGCCUUCGUCACCGGCCGUCGAUCCCGCUGCGAGUCCGGGCCUUCAUCCUAUCCAUCUGCUGCUUCGGGGGAGCAAAGAGACAAGACGGGGUGCAAAGAGCUUGUUGACCUGGUCAUGGUUGGCUAUGGAGUGUGGUAGAAUUAUCUUC
rnacentral:lncRNA from 1 species